CCCCCCGCCCGCCCUCACUCACUCACUCACCCUCCCAGAGAGCGCUCACUUUCCCUUCCCCUCGGCCCCGCCCCCGGUUCCAGCCCCACCCACCCCCAACCGGCGUGCGAGCGCGAGAGCUCGAAAAGGGGAGGGCGGGGGGCAAGAGAAGAGGGAGCCGGGAUUGGUUGCUAGGGUGGUGACGUCAAGGAGUCGGGGACGAGGGGGAGCCGGAGACACGGAAAAGCUGGUUUCUGUCGAGAGACUUCUGCAAUUUGUUGAUUUGAAUAAGAAUUGACACAUGAUGAACUCAUCCAAUAGCUAUAUAAACAGCAGGGUGAGAAGGCUGCACAGGGAGCAAUUAUUCUACUGGUGCCCAGACAACAGCAUUUGAAGAUCAACAGGGCCAUGUCAGAAAGUUCAAGGAUUUGUACUGAAGUUCUGGAGUGUACAUUUUGUUUUCUAUGUAAGUUUCAUUUAUGCAAUGGAAAGCUAACUUCUUUGCAAGGAAAAAACCAAAACAAUUGGUGCUCAAACAUUUAUUUCUAUAAAGCUGCCUCUCCCUCCCUUUUUAAAGCUGCCUUGGGCAGGAAAGGCAGGGUAGAAAUCUGAUUUUACAAAAAUAUUUGUUCAACAGCAGCAUAAUAAACUAUUUUAGCACCAGA